rnacentral:rRNA from 1 species
GAGUUUGAUCCUGGCUCAGAUUGAACGCUGGCGGUAUGCUUAACACAUGCAAGUCGAACGGUAACAGCGGAGCUUGCUCUGGCUGACGAGUGGCGGACGGGUGCGUAACGCGUAGGAAUCUACCCAAUAGCGGGGGAUAGCCCGGAGAAAUCCGGAUUAAUACCGCCAGUCUAGUAUUGGGUAAAGAGGGCCUCUCCUUGGAAGCUCUCACUAUUGGAUGAGCCUGCGUUGGAUUAGCUUGUUGGUGGGGUAAUGGCCUACCAAGGCGACGAUCCAUAGCUGGUCUGAGAGGACGACCAGCCACACUGGGACUGAGACACGGCCCAGACUCCUACGGGAGGCAGCAGUGGGGAAUAUUGGACAAUGGGGGCAACCCUGAUCCAGCAAUACCGCGUGUGUGAAGAAGGCUUGAGGGUUGUAAAGCACUUUCAGUGGGGAGGAAGGCCUAGUCGCUAAUAUCGACUAGGAUUGACGUUACCCACAGAAGAAGCACCGGCUAACUCCGUGCCAGCAGCCGCGGUAAUACGGAGGGUGCAAGCGUUAAUCGGAAUUACUGGGCGUAAAGCGUACGUAGGCGGAUUUUUAAGUCAGAUGUGAAAGCCCGGGGCUCAACCUGGGAACUGCAUUCAAUACUGUCUAGCUAGAGUAUGGUAGAGGAAAGUGGAAUUUCAGGUGUAGCGGUGAAAUGCGUAGAUAUCGGAAGGAACAUCAGUGGCGAAGGCGGCUAUCUGGACCAAUACUGACGCUGAGGUGCGAAAGCGUGGGGAGCAAACGGGAUUAGAUACCCCGGUAGUCCACGCCGUAAACGAUGUCUACUAGCCGUUGGGAGACUUGAUCUCUUAGUGGCGCAGCUAAUGCAAUAAGUAGACCGCCUGGGGAGUACGGCCGCAAGGUUAAAACUCAAAUGAAUUGACGGGGGCCCGCACAAGCGGUGGAGCAUGUGGUUUAAUUCGAUGCAACGCGAAGAACCUUACCUGGUCUUGACAUCCUACGAACUUACUAGAGAUAGUUUGGUGCCUUCGGGAACGUAGUGACAGGUGCUGCAUGGCUGUCGUCAGCUCGUGUUGUGAAAUGUUGGGUUAAGUCCCGUAACGAGCGCAACCCCUAUCCUUAUUUGCCAGCACGUCAUGGUGGGAACUCUAAGGAGACUGCCGGUGAUAAACCGGAGGAAGGUGGGGACGACGUCAAGUCAUCAUGGCCCUUACGGAUUGGGCUACACACGUGCUACAAUGGGCAGUACAGAGGGUCGCGAGCCUGUGAGGGUAAGCUAAUCUCAGAAAGCUGUUCGUAGUCCGGAUUGGAGUCUGCAACUCGACUCCAUGAAGUUGGAAUCGCUAGUAAUCGCGGAUCAGAAUGCCGCGGUGAAUACGUUCCCGGGCCUUGUACACACCGCCCGUCACACCAUGGGAGUGGAUUGCACCAGAAGUGGCUAGUUUAACCUUCGGGAGAACGGUCACCACGGUGUGGUUCAUGACUGGGGUGAAGUCGUAACAAGGUAACC